CCCGUUUCCAGGUGCUCAUUGUUAAGUUGUUCUCGAUGACACUGAUUACUAGUAAGUCUGGGAUUACCAGUGCGCCACUAUUUGUCAGAAGCGAUUUCAGUGCUUUUUGCGUCUAGCUUUCACCGUGAUCAAGUGUUAUGUAUAGUUCUACUGCAGUUAAGUAUUGGUGAGUGGUUCUUCUCAGUGGUAAACAGGGUAUGCCCACACUCUGCUUCGAACCCAAAUUACGGCCCUGAAUUACCUCUUUAAGAAUGCGUGCUGUGUCACGCUCUUUGCGACAUUUCGAUUCCCACAAGCCUUAUCUUCAGUAAAGAGCAAUUCUGGGACCGCGCUUUUAUACUUCAGCGACGCUGCGAUAUUUGGGUCCUUCGAUAUUAUUGUAGCCUUAAAGCAGGUCGUACUAACGCGGCUGCAGAGUCAACUGGUUUCUCAUAAAAUCAAGAAAGCUAUGACUCCCGUCAAUAAGGGUCGCGAGCAGAUAAUAAAUAUAGACAAAGAGCGAAACCUGCUUCACGACAGGUUAGUAGCUUCGUACAAUAGAAGAGGCUACAUUCUCUACAACAAGCGUUUAUACGUAAAAGGGGCUGUAUCCCCGUUUUAGAAAGCAUUACCAAGCAUCGUUGCGAUCGUAAUUAUUGACCACUUAAUUCUGUAUUAGUUCCGCGUUCAACUCUAUGCAUCCACUACAGGCAUGCGUUCAUCUCACAAAUACGAGGGGAUAAAAUGUCACAGGACAAAACCUUGGCGGGUGUACAAUGUCAUUCUAGUCGUAUGGCCUAUCGUCGCUGCCAUGAGAAUCCCUUUUUCUUUCCUCGAUGGUAGGAUAG